rnacentral:hammerhead_ribozyme from 1 species
AUCCAGCUGAUGAGUCCUAAAUAGGACGAGACAACAGUCUUGAAU